rnacentral:rRNA from 1 species
GAGAAAUCUACCCUUACGUUCCGGAUAAUUGGCUGAAAAGCCUUGUAAUACGGGGGAGGUUCAUUUUUAGGCAUCUUUAGAUGAACAAACGAGCAAUCGGCGCAAGGAUGAUCUCGCGGCUUAUCAGGUAGUUGGUGGGGUAAUGGCCUACCAAGCCUACGACGAGUAGCUGGUCUGAGAGGAUGGUCAGCCACAUUGGAACUGAGAUACUGUCCAGACUCCUACGGGAGGCUGCAGUCGAGAAUCUUGGGCAAUGCACGAAAGUGUGACCCAGCGACGCCGCGUGAAGGAUGAAGGCCCUCCGGGUCGUAAACUUCUUUUAUAGGGGAAGAACACAAUGACGGUACCCUAUGAAUAAGCCACGGCUAACUACGUGCCAGCAGCCGCGGUAAUACGUAGGUGGCAAGCGUUGUCCGGAUUUACUGGGCGUAAAGGGCAAGCAGGCGGAUUGUUAAGUAGAAAGUGAAAGGUCGGGGCUCAACCCCAACAUUGCUUUCUAUACUGGCAGUCCUGAGUCCCGGAGGGGAGAGCGGAACGACACGU